AUACUUACCUAGCAGGGGAGAUACCAUGAUCAUGUGUGUGUUUUCCUCAGGGUGAGGCUCAUUCAUUGACUUCUAGGUGUGCUGACCCCUGUGAACUCACCAAAUGUGGGAAACUCAACUGCUUAGUUUGUGGUAGUGGGAGACCAUGUUUGUGCUUUCUCCUU
ensembl:snRNA U1 U1 spliceosomal RNA